rnacentral:rRNA from 1 species
GGUUGAUCCUGCCAGUAGUCAUAUGCUUGUCCCAAAGAUUAAGCCAUGCAUGUCCAAGUAUAUACCUUUAUACGGUGAAACUGCGAAUGGCUCAUUAUAUCAGUUAUAAUUUACUUGAUGAUUUCUUUACUACUUGGAUAACCGUGGUAAUUCUAGAGCUAAUACAUGCAAAAGGCCCGACUUGUGGAAGGGUCGUAUUUAUUAGAUAAAAACCAAUGCCAGCGAUGGCUUUUGGCGAGUCAUGAUAACUGCGCGGAUCGCAUGACCUCGAGUCGGCGACGCUUCAUUCAAA